rnacentral:rRNA from 1 species
AUUGAACGCUGGCGGCAUGCUUUACACAUGCAAGUCGAACGGUAGCAGGGAGCUUGCUCCGCUGACGAGUGGCGAACGGGUGAGUAAUGCGUCGGAACGUGCCGAGUAGUGGGGGAUAACGCAGCGAAAGUUGUGCUAAUACCGCAUACGUACUGAGGUAGAAAGUGGGGGACCUUCGGGCCUCACGCUAUUCGAGCGGCCGACGUCUGAUUAGCUAGUUGGUGAGGUAAAGGCUCACCAAGGCGACGAUCAGUAGCGGGUCUGAGAGGAUGAUCCGCCACACUGGGACUGAGAAACGGCCCAGACUCCUACGGGAGGCAGCAGUGGGGAAUUUUGGACAAUGGGCGCAAGCCUGAUCCAGCCAUGCCGCGUGUCUGAAGAAGGCCUUCGGGUUGUAAAGGACUUUUGUCCGGGAGCAAAUGCUGGUGGCUAACAUCCACCGGAGCUGAGAGUACCGGAAGAAUAAGCACCGGCUAACUACGUGCCAGCAGCCGCGGUAACAC